rnacentral:rRNA from 1 species
CCUACGGGUGGCAGCAGUGGGGAAUAUUGCACAAUGGGGGAAACCCUGAUGCAGCCACGCCGCGUGAGUGAAGAAGUAUUUCGGUAUGUAAAGCUCUAUCAGCAGGGAAGAAAAUGACGGUACCUGAGUAAGAAGCCCCGGCUAACUACGUGCCAGCAGCCGCGGUAAUACGUCGGGGGCAAGCGUUAUCCGGAUUUACUGGGCGUAAAGGGAGCGUAGACGGCGAUACAAGUCUGAAGUGAAAGCCCGGGGCUCAACCCCGGGACUGCCUUUGAAACUGUGGUGCUGGAGUGCGGGAGAGGCAAGCGGAAUUUCUAGUGGAGCGGUGAAAUGCGUAGAUAUUAGGAAGAACACCAGUGGCGAAGGCGGCUUACUGGACUGUAACUGACGCUGAGGCAUGAGAGCAUGGGGAGCAAACAGGAUUAGAUACCCCAGUAGUC